GUGCGUGCAUGUGCACAGGUGUGCAGGGUGCAUGCAUGUGCAUGUGCAGGCAUGCAGGGUGUGCACACAGGUGUGCAGGGUGCAUGCAUGUGCAGUCAUGCAGGGUGCAUGCACAGGCAGGCAGGGUGCAUGCAUGUGCAGGUAUGCAGAGUGCGUGUGUGUGUGUGUGCACAGGCAGGCGGGGUGCAUGCGUGUGCACGUGCACAGGUGUGCAGGGUGUAUGCAUGUGCAUGUGCAGGUAUACAGAGUGUGUGCACAGGUGUGCAAGGUGCGUGUGCAUCCGUGUGUAGGCAUGCAGGGUGCGUGCACAGGCAGGCAGGGUGCAUGCAUGUGCGUGCGCCCGCCUGCUCCRGGGCCAUGUCUCCGCAGAGGGGCAGCUCAGCGUGUCCCAGCACGGCCGGCCGCUCCGCACGCUGGGGCCCGGCGACGUCUUCGGGGAGCUGGCCAUCCUCUACCACUGCAAGCGCACGGCCACCGUGCGGGCGCUCACYGCCGUGCGYCUGUGGGCCAUCGACCGGCAGCGGUACCGCGCCAUCGCCACCAGCAACGCCAAGCAGAGGCGGGCCGAGGUCCUGGGCGCCCUGCGAGCGGUGCACUGGCUGCAGGGCCUCUCYGACACCCACCUCUCCAAGCUGCUCGACGCCAUGGAGGAGGUGAGUGUGCACGGCGCGUGAGCCUGAACCCGCGCGUGAGUGCACCCACGCGUGAGCGUGCACAUGGGGGUGAGCGUGCGCUGCGCAUGAGUGCACCUGCGCGUGAGGGUGCACCUGCAUGUGAGUGUGAACCCAUGCAUGAGUGUGCACCGCACGUGAGCGUGCACAUGGGCAUGAGCGUGCACCUGCAUGUGAGCGUGCACCCGCGUGUCAGCGUGCACUUGCAUGUGAGCGUGCAUCCAUGUAUGAGCAUGCACCUACAAGUGAGUGUGCACCCACACGUGAGCAUGCACCCACAGGUGAGUACACCCACGGGUGAGCAUGCACCCACGUGUCAGCAUGCACCCCCAUGUAAGCAUGCACCCACGCGUGAGUGUGCACCCACACAUGAGCAUGCACCCACGUGUGAGUACACCCAUGCGUGAGCGUGCACCUGCGUGUCAGCACACGCCCCCAUGUGAGCAUGCCCCCACGCGUGAGUGUGCRCUGCGCGUGAGCGUGCACGCGGGCGCCGGGCAGCCUGCCCUCCYGGGGCCCCCACGGGCCGGGGCGGCUCCGCGGGGCUGCCCGGUGCCCCUGUGCCCCGCAGUGCACCUUCGCGCCCGGCCACGUCAUCAUCCGCGAAGGGGACGAGGGGGAAAACUUCUACAUCAUCCUGAAAGGAGAGGUGCGGGUGACCCAGAAGGUGGAGGGGAAGGAGAAGGUGAUCCGGGUCCUGGGUGCCGGCGAGCACUUCGGGGAGAUCUCCCUGCUGCAGUAGGUGCCCCGUGCCGACCCCUGCCCUGCUGCGGUGCACGUGCACGUGUGCCUCUCGCACACCAGCUUCCUGUGCACACSCAGCUCUCAUACACCGGCUCCCCUUGCACACGUGCCUCUUGCACACCAGCUAACCAUGCACACGCAACUCGCACAACGGUUCCUCAUGCACAUGUGCUUCUUGCACACCAGCUCCCCGUGCACACAUGCCUCUUGCACACUGGCUCAUCAUGCACACGCAACUCACACAACGGUUCCUCAUGCACAUGUGCUUCUUGCACACUAGUUCCCCUUGCACACGUGCCUCUUGCACGCCAGUUCCCCAUGCACACACAGCUCUCACAUGCCAGCUCCCCGUGCACAUGUGCUUCUUGCACACCAGUUUGCCUCGCACACGUGCCUCUCGCACACCAGCUCCCUGUGCACACGUGGCUUUUCUGCUCGCUGCAGGAACAUCCGCCGGACGGCGUCGUGCCGGGCGCAGGGAGAGGUCACCUGCAUCACGGUGGCCAAGGAGUGAGUGAGCCACGGGGGGGGGGAUGCCCAGGACCCCCCGCGCUGGCCGCCCCGGCCCCUGCUGCGCAGCCCCGGCUCCCGGGUGCCUGCUGCUCCGGGACCCCGUCUGCCCCCCAGGGGUGUCCCGUCCUCCAGAGCGGAGUGGGGCCCGGGGGGGACAYGUGUCCCUGGGCCCCCCCCUGCCCCACUGACCUUGCCUCUGCCCCCAGGGACUUCCUGGAGAUCAGCCCCUUCUGCCCCAGGCAGCACUCGGAGUCGUGAGUGUCCCCAGCCCCUUGGAGACCCCC
rnacentral:lncRNA from 1 species